AGCUAUUACAGCUCUAUUAGAAUUGUUCUCACAGGUUUUCUGACUUUGGUUGGAAAACUCAU
ensembl:snRNA LOC120097669 U7 small nuclear RNA